rnacentral:lncRNA from 1 species
AACACCGCUUCCCAGCUCUUUGGGAAAGGAAGCCUUGAUGAAAACUUCGGGGAAAGUUGUAGAACUGGCAAGUGAAAUGAUCUCGUGGCGUCAUCCUGGGGAAUUAACUUCACAGUAUACGUCAGAGAAUCCCUUGGACACAGGACUUGUGAAGAAGAAAUAUGAUUUCUCUCACUAAGUGGGACUGACCAGAGCUUCCUUCCCUACCUGCUACUUCAUAAGGAUCAGAGCCACCAUGUGACCAGCUGUUGGUCUCCACUGUCACAGCAGAAGAGCAGCGUUUGUCACACAGUGGAAGUGCUUCUCUGUUAUGUCCACACUGCAAGAGCUCUCUGAUCUAGGACAGAAGUCUAUCAUUUGGAAGGUGGCUAUGAGGGCACUCCUGGAAGCACACGUAUGCUCCGUGCUGCUGAGAACUGAGGGUAGACACAGACCAUGGCGUAUGUCAAUGGAAGGCAGCAUCAGGAUGGGAAGCCAUGCUAAUGACAGACCCGAAGGGAGUAAAGACCCGAAGUCCACGAGCUGCCCGGAGUUGGGGUAGGACCGGCCUCUUCCCCGAGUCCUUAAGCCGUGUCUGCCCCACGAGUACAGUGCCACACAGAACAAGGCACCAUGAAUAGGUGCACGUACCCCUCAUGUGUUGAAAUCCCAGCCCAUGUGCCUGUCAUAGGAGGUAGAGUUUUGACUUAGUUGUCCCAU